GAUCAAAUCAAGCGCGAAAAGGGCGUUUGGUGAAUGCCUUGGCAGUAAGAGGCGAUGAAAGACGUGAUACUCUGCGAUAAGUCAUGGGGAGCUGAGAAUAAGCUUUGAUCCAUGAAUUUCUGAAUGGGGCAACCCACCUGAUACUGUGUUAUUUAUACUACCAGACAGACGUUGUUUGCGGGUUCGCCCUCAAGUAGCGCUCCGCGCGGUAGGGCAAAAUAAUAUGGUAAACCAGGUAUUUUUAGGCUGAAUAUAUAGGCUUAAAAAAGCAAACCCGGGGAACUGAAACAUCUAAGUACCCGGAGGAAAGGAAAUCAAUAUGAUACUCCCCUAGUAGCGGCGAGCGAACGGGGACCAGCCGAGCCAUGAUUGUGGUUAGAAUGCGUUGGAAUGCGCAACCAAAGUGGGUGAUAGUCCCGUAUAAGAAGCAUGAUUGGACGUAUUAAGUAGGGCGGAACACGUGAAAUUCUGUCUGAAGAUCGGAGGACCACCUUCGAAGGCUAAGUACUCCUUACUGACCGAUAGUGAACCAGUACCGUGAGGGAAAGGUGAAAAGCACCCCGACGAGGGGAGUGAAACAGUACCUGAAACCGAACGCCUACAAUCAGUUGGAGGGACCUUGCGUCCUGACAGCGUACCUUUUGUAUAAUGGGUCAUCGACUUGGUCUCACGAGCAAGCUUAAGCCGUUAGGUGUAGGCGUAGCGAAAGCGAGUCUUAAUAGGGCGUCGAGUUCGUGGGAUCAGACCCGAAACCGAGUGAUCUAGGCAUGGCCAGGUUGAAGGUAAGGUAACACUUACUGGAGGACCGAACCCACAUCUGUUGAAAAAGAUCGGGAUGAGCUGUGCCUAGGGGUGAAAGGCCAAUCAAACUCGGAGAUAGCUGGUUCUCUGCGAAAUCUAUUUAGGUAGAGCGUCGACCGAAUACCAUCGGGGGUAGAGCACUGGAUGGGUAAUGGGGCCCCACAGGCUUACUGAUCCUAACCAAACUCCGAAUACCGAUGAGUACUAGUCGGCAGACACACGGCGAAUGCUAACGUCCGUCGUGAAGAGGGAAACAACCCUAACCUCCAGCUAAGGCCCCUAAUUCAUGGCUAAGUGGGAAAGCAGGUGAGACGACCAAAACAACCAGGAGGUUGGCUUAGAAGCAGCCAUCCUUUAAAGAUAGCGUAACAGCUCACUGGUCUAAAUAAGUUGUCUUGCGGCGAAGAUGUAACGGGGCUCAAGCCAUGAGCCGAAGCUGAGGAUGCAUUUAUUGCAUGGUAGCAGAGCGUAGUGUGACAUAAGACUUUGUCUCCUUACUUCCUUCGGGAAUAUUGGAGACGUAGUCUUUUCUGUGAAGCUGGCGCGUGAGCGAUCCGGUGGAGAGAUCACUAGUGAGAAUGAUGACAUGAGUAGCGACAAAGAGUGUGAGAGACACUCUCGCCGAAAGUCCAAGGGUUCCUGCUUAAAGCUAAUCUGAGCAGGGUAAGCCGACCCCUAAGGCGAGGCCGAAAGGCGUAGUCGAUGGGAACCAGGUUAAUAUUCCUGGGCCAGAUGGAAGUGACGGAUCUCGAAGGUAGUUCAUCCUUAUCGGAUUGAAUGGGCUGCUUAGAGGUCCCUGGAAAUAGCUCCAUCAUGAGAUCGUACCCUAAACCGACACAGGUGGACAGGUAGAGAAUACCAAGGCGCUUGAGAGAACUAUGUUGAAGGAACUCGGCAAAAUACCUCCGUAAGUUCGCGAGAAGGAGGCCCGGUUCCUAGGCAACUAGGGGCUGGGGGCACAAACCAGGGGGUGGCGACUGUUUAUUAAAAACACAGGGCUCUGCGAAGUCGCAAGACGACGUAUAGGGUCUGACGCCUGCCCGGUGCCUGAAGGUUAAAAGGAGGGGUGAGAGCUCUGAAUUGAAGCCCAGGUAAACGGCGGCCGUAACUAUAACGGUCCUAAGGUAGCGAAAUUCCUUGUCGGGUAAGUUCCGACCUGCACGAAUGGCGUAACGACUUCCCCGCUGUCUCCAACAUAGACUCAGCGAAAUUGAAUUACCGGUCAAGAUGCCGGUUACCCGCGGUUAGACGGAAAGACCCCGUGCACCUUUACUACAGCUUCACAUUGGCAUUAGGCCGAACAUGUGCAGGAUAGGUGGUGGGCUUUGAAACGUGAACGCCAGUUUGCGUGGAGCCUCCCUUGAGAUACCACCCUUGUUCUGCUUGAUGUCUAACCGCGGUCCGUUAUCCGGAUCCGGGACCCUGUGUGGCGGGUAGUUUGACUGGGGCGGUCGCCUCCUAAAUCGUAACGGAGGCGCGCGAAGGUUGGCUCAGAGCGGUCGGAAAUCGCUCGUUGAGUGCAAUGGCAGAAGCCAGCCUGACUGCGAGACUGACAAGUCGAGCAGAGUCGAAAGACGGCCAUAGUGAUCCGGUGGUCCCAAGUGGGAGGGCCAUCGCUCAACGGAUAAAAGGUACGCCGGGGAUAACAGGCUGAUACUGCCCAAGAGUCCAUAUCGACGGCAGUGUUUGGCACCUCGAUGUCGGCUCAUCUCAUCCUGGGGCUGGAGCAGGUCCCAAGGGUACGGCUGUUCGCCGUUUAAAGAGGUACGUGAGCUGGGUUUAGAACGUCGUGAGACAGUUCGGUCCCUAUCUUCCGUGGGUGUAGGAUACUUGAGAGGAGUUGCCCCUAGUACGAGAGGACCGGGGUGAACGAUCCACUGGUGGACCAGUUGUUAUGCCAAUAGCAGUGCUGGGUAGCUAUGAUCGGACAGGAUAACCGCUGAAGGCAUCUAAGCGGGAAGCCCCCCUCAAAACAAGGUAUCCCUGAGAGCCGAGGUAGACCACCUCGUCGAUAGGCCAGAGAUGUAAGCGUAGUAAUACGUUCAGUUGACUGGUACUAAUGGCUCGAUAGGCUUGAUUUGAUCCAG
rnacentral:rRNA from 1 species